UUUGCAAAGAAUAACUAACAAAA
rnacentral:snRNA from 1 species